AGGGGAUGCUCGGGGAGGCGGGAGUCGGGCAGGAGUGGCUGGAGGAAGGGAGGAGCAGUUUUACAGCCGUAAUUCCACUCUUUGGUGAGGCUGGGACAGGCUUCAUUGUCUCUUGCAUUUUUCGGGGGUGCCUGAUGUUAAAAGUCCUGCCAGUGAAGGAUUGCUCUCUUUGGAGUGGAGCACAGAUCCUCCCAGAAACUAAAUCUUUGGGCAUGAGGGCAUGAGAUCUUUGUGGAGCUCCUCAGUAAUUUUUUCAAAAAAAAAAAAAAAAGAAAGAAAGAAACCAGCAGCUCUAACUACUCUAACUAGGAUUAUUUAAAGUCUUGUGGAUUGGAUAUAUUCCAAAGUAUUGUAGUGCUUUCAGCGAGGAUUGAGGAAAUAAUGAACAAGUGACUUACUGUUUUUUUUCUAUAAUAAAAAUUGUAUCUUAGUUGAAAGGCA
rnacentral:lncRNA from 1 species